UCAAGUUAUUAAGGGUGCAGGGCGGAUGCCUUGGCACUAGGAGCCGAUGAAGGACGUGAUAAGCUGCGAUAAGCUUCGGGGAGUUGCACGUAAACUUUGAUCCGAAGAUUUCCGAAUGAGGAAACUCACUUAGAGUAAUGUCUAAGUAUCAUUAAGUGAAUACAUAGCUUAAUGAGGGGAACUCAGGGAACUGAAACAUCUAAGUACCUGAAGGAAGAGAAAGAAAUUCGAUUCCGUAAGUAGCGGCGAGCGAACGCGGAUUAGCCCAAACCAAUAAAGUUUUCUUUAUUGGGGUUGCGGACAUAUCAUAACGAAGAGGUAUCGUAAUUGAAGAGGUUUGGAAAGACCCACCACAGAAGGUAAUAGUCCUGUAUGUUAAACGAGAAGACUUCAGAUAUGAUCCAGAGUACCACGGGACACGUGAAACCCUGUGGGAAGCAGGAGGGACCACCCUCCAAGGCUAAAUACUACCUAGUGACCGAUAGCGUAUAGUACCGUGAGGGAAAGGUGAAAAGAACCCCGGGAGGGGAGUGAAAUAGAACCUGAAACCCUGCACUUACAAGCUGUGGAAGCACAUUUCUUGUGUGACCGCGUACUUUUUGUAGAACGGGCCAACGAGUUACGUUAAGUAGCAAGGUUAAGCACUUAAGGUGCGGAGCCGUAGCGAAAGCGAGUUUUAACUGAGCGUUCAGUUACUUGACGUAGACCCGAAACCGGGCGACCUACCCAUGAGCAGGAUGAAGCGAAAGUAAAAUUUCGUGGAGGUCCGAACCCACGAGCGUUGAAAAGCUCGGGGAUGACUUGUGGGUAGCGGUGAAAUUCCAAUCGAGCCCGGAGAUAGCUGGUUCUCCCCGAAAUAGCUUUAGGGCUAGCCUCAAGGUGAGAGAUACGGAGGUAGAGCACUGAAUGUCCUAGGGGGUAUUGCACCUACCGAAGACUAUCAAACUCCGAAUGCCGUCAUCUUAUACUUGGGAGUCAGACUGUGGGUGAUAAGAUUCAUAGUCGAAAGGGCAACAGCCCAGAUCGUCAGCUAAGGUCCCUAAAUGUAAGUUAAGUGGUAAAGGAUGUGGGAUUGCACAGACAACCAGGAUGUUGGCUUAGAAGCAGCCACUCAUUCAAAGAGUGCGUAAUAGCUCACUGGUCGAGUGAUCCUGCGCCGAAGAUUUCCGGGGCUAAAACUUACUACCGAAGCUACGGCAUCANAUGAUGGGUAGGGGAGCUUCCCAUACGGGUUGAAGCAUGACCGUAAGGACAUGUGGACAGUAUGGGAGUGAGAAUGUUGGCAUGAGUAGCGAGAUGUGGGUGAGAAUCCCACAGGCCGUAAACCCAAGGUUUCCAGGGGAAGGUUCGUCCGCCCUGGGUUAGUCGGGACCUAAGCUGAGGCCGAAAGGCGUAGGUGAUGGACAACAGGUUGAUAUUCCUGUACUACCGAUAACCGUUUGAGAGAAGGGAUGACACAGUAGGAUAAGCUAAGCACACUGUUGGUUAUGUGUGCCCAAGCAUUGAGGCAGUCAAAGCAGGCAAAUCCGCUUUGAUAAUGCUGGGAUGUGAUGGGGAGCGAAAUUUAGUAGCGAAGUAGCUGAUUUCACACUGUCAAGAAAAGUCUCUAUCGAGGUUAAAGGUACCCGUACCGCAAACCGACACAGGUGGGUGAGGAGAGUAUCCUAAGGCCAGCGAGAGAACUGUUGUUAAGGAACUCGGCAAAAUGACCCCGUAACUUAGGGAUAAGGGGUGCCACCAUCCGGUGGCCGCAGAGAAUAGGCCCAAGCGACUGUUUACCAAAAACAUAGGUUUCUGCUAAGUCGCAAGACGAUGUAUAGGAGCUGACGCCUGCCCGGUGCUGGAAGGUUAAGGGGAUCUGUUAGAGCAAUCGAAGCAGUGAACUUAAGCCCCAGUAAACGGCGGCCGUAACUAUAACGGUCCUAAGGUAGCGAAAUUCCUUGUCGGGUAAGUUCCGACCCGCACGAAAGGCGUAACGAUUUGGGCACUGUCUCAACAACAGACUCGGUGAAAUUGUAAUUCCGGUGAAGAUGCCGGAUACCUGCGACAGGACGGAAAGACCCCAUGGAGCUUUACUGUAGCUUGACAUUGGGUCUUGGUACUACAUGUACAGGAUAGGUGGGAGGCUUUGAAACCAGGACGCCAGUUUUGGCGGAGCCAUCCUUGGGAUACCACCCUUGUAGUACUGGGACUCUAACCAUAGGCCAUGAAUCUGGUCUUGGGACACUGUCAGGUGGGCAGUUUGACUGGGGCGGUCGCCUCCCAAAAGGUAACGGAGGCGCUCAAAGGUUCUCUCAGUACGGUCGGAAAUCGUACGUAGAGUGUAAAGGCAAAAGAGAGCUUGAUUGCAAGACAUACAGGUCGAGCAAGGAUGAAAAUCGGACUUAGUGAUCCGGUGGUUCUGCGUGGAAGGGCCAUCGCUCAACGGAUAAAAGCUACCCUGGGGAUAACAGGCUUAUCUCCCCCAAGAGUCCACAUCGACGGGGAGGUUUGGCACCUCGAUGUCGGCUCAUCACAUCCUGGGGCUGUAGUAGGUCCCAAGGGUUGGGCUGUUCGCCCAUUAAAGUGGUACGCGAGCUGGGUUCAGAACGUCGUGAGACAGUUCGGUCCCUAUCCGUCGCAGGCGUAGGAAAUUUGAGAAGACCUGUCCUUAGUACGAGAGGACCGGGAUGGACGUACCUCUGGUGUACCAGUUGUCCUGCCAAGGGCAUGGCUGGGUAGCUAUGUACGGAAUGGAUAAGCGCUGAAAGCAUCUAAGCGCGAAGCCAACUUCAAGAUAAGAUUUCCCACCGCAAGGGUAAGACCCCAGAAAGACUAUCUGGUUGAUAGGUCGAAGGUGUAAGUGCAGCAAUGUAUUUAGCUUAUCGAUACUAAUAGGUCGAGGACUUGACCAA
rnacentral:rRNA from 1 species